rnacentral:rRNA from 1 species
GAUGAACGCUGGCGGCGUGCCUAAUACAUGCAAGUCGAGCGAACAGACGAGGAGCUUGCUCCUCUGACGUUAGCGGCGGACGGGUGAGUAACACGUGGAUAACCUACCUAUAAGACUGGGAUAACUUCGGGAAACCGGAGCUAAUACCGGAUAAUAUAUUGAACCGCAUGGUUCAAUAGUGAAAGACGGUUUUGCUUUCACUUAUAGAUGGAUCCGCGCCGCAUUAGAUAGUUGGUAAGGUAACGGCUUACCAAGGCGACGAUGCGUAACCGCCCUGAGAGGGUGAUGGGCCACACUGGAACUGAGACACGGCCCAGACCCCUACGGGAGGCAGCAGUAGGGAAUCUUCCGCAAUGGGAGAAAGCGUGACGGAGCAACGCCGCGUGAGUGAUGAAGGUUUUCGGCUCGUAAAACUCUGUUAUGAGGGAAGAACAAAUGUGUAAGUAACUAUGCACGUCUUGACGGUACCUAAUCAGAAAGCCACGGCUAACUACGUG